AUGAAUGCCCACAGGGCAUAUUUCUGGGACAUGUGACUCCUUUGAGAACAAAAGGUAUAAAUGCUAAGCUAGUUAGUUCCCCAAUUAAUAUUUGAAGCAGUCUGUGAUGCUGUGAGACAGAAGGCCUCGGGGUAACCAAGACCCUGCUUCGGGGGACAUUUGACAGACCAAGUACCUGAGAUGGUAGAAGAAGAGAAGAAAAUAAGUCUCCAUCUAGUACCACCACAGAGGCACCACCCUCUCUUGAGGGCUGGCAGCUUGGGCAGUAUUUUACAGGAUAGAGCUGGUCCUCUUCCCUAAUCCCAGAGUAGUCUAUUAACCCCUUCCUGUCCUGGCCCGGAGUGAGAUGAGUGCAUACUUAUGGACGUACUGCCAUACCAUGGGGAAUUUGUUCUGUGUUUACAGACACAGCUCACUGGCAUGAAUGUUCAGCAUGAUGAGCAAUGUUUGAAGUGAAGAGAAAAGCUGAAGCAGCAUAAACUCUGUAAGAGCUGUUCUUUUGUUCAAAGUGAAUGUUAGUGAAACUUCUUGAGUGUUCCAUGAUAAACUCUCUAAGUUGCUGAGAAAAAAUAAAAAUUAUCCAUUCCCAGAAACAAGCAUUUGUCAUUGUUGGGUCAG